UCAUCUUUAGGGAACAAAGCUAUGCAAUGAUUACGUCAAAGACCUAUCUCCAGAACCCUGAACAUCUCUGCCUUUAUCUAACAUCCCUUUAAAUAUUCUGUAGCCUCCAUACUCAUCACCUCAGCUGCAUUGUUGUGCCAUUCAUCUUUAUUCUUAUCAGAUGGUGAGUGCAAUCCUGCAUGGUCAGUAUUUGUCAUCUAGAUCUUUAAGGCCAAGCUGUCCAGCUACCUGCGAACCAAUCAUGUUGUUUUUGGCAAGCAGAAUGUCUUUGCCAUCAAUAAUUGGUCAACAAGCUACAAACCAAUCGGCAAUGCAUUGCCAGCUGAAUCGCCAUUAGUGUAUAAUGCUUGACUCCAGCUCGUCUGCAAACUCCACUUUAGUUACUGUCUGGACCAGUACCUGUCUCACAAUCAAAAAUACAGAAAAAAAUGAAACAACACAACAUAUCGUCUUAGAACCAGUAAAACUCUCUCCCCUUGUCUUUGUCCCAGACUAUGGCUAUGGUUAUGGAUGUUAGAGAUCAGUCAACACAGCUGCAAGACGACUCUGAAAGACUUCCCAGGGAAAUACCAAGGCCCAGCCAGCUUCAGAUGACCUUCCUGCCAUCAUAAGGAAAAUCUUUGAACAAGAACAAAAUCAGCAAAAUGCAGAGCAAAGAAUCACUUUCAUCAGCAUCGUGAAAUUACUGUGGAGUAUGGUGUGAGUAGAAUCUGAAGUCGCGAUCUUCAUUUCAGAAGGACAUAUUCUGACAGACCUGAUGAGUCCCUCCAGCAAUUUGAUUUGUUUCAUAUUACCAGCUGCAGUUCCUUGUUUUCUAUAAGAAAAUGUAGCAAUUUACUGUCAAUUCGCACAAGCCUAUUGUUCACUUGUUAAAAACGUCAAAGCGUUUUUUGACUAUGCUAAUCACCCUGACGGUAUUUGCAUCAUUUUUUUAAAAACCUCCAUUUUUAUUUGAUUAUGAAGCAUCAACCUCAUUUCUGCAAGUCUGCAAGGAUUCAGAAACUCUUAAAAAUGCACCUUUUAAAAUUUUGUUUAUGGGAUGUGGGUUUUGCUGGCUGGGCCCCAUUUAUUUCCCAUCCCUAAUUGCCCAGAGGGUAGGUAAAAGUGAACUUCAUUGCUGUGGGCCAUGGUUUACUCACAGAUCUGACCACGUAAGGAUGGCAUGUUCCCUUCCUCAAAAGGCAUUCACCAACUAUAUGGGGCUUUUACAACCAUCUUCAAUGGUUACAUAGUUGACAUUUGACUUUCUGAUUCCAAAAUUUUUAGGAAACUCAGAUUUUAUCAUCUGCUACAGAGGGAUUUCAGUUCAUGGCCCUAAAAGAUUAUCCUGAAGUUACUAAACCCACAACCUUACCUGAACACUAUUGCCUUCAACGCAAAACAAACCUUUUGGCCAGACCAUUUCUUUUCAGUGUGGUACACUAGGAUGCAACUAUAUUUUUGAUAAUGAUAUAAAUGAUGCUGCUCUGAAAUCAGAAAAGAGCAGUGUAAAGAGGAUUGAGUAUUGGAAAAGGGAAUAAACACUACUGAAGGGAGAUGUGCUCAGUAAGAUGUAUAUCUCAAUGUAAACAAGGAGUUUACAACAAGGAUUUGAAUAGUAGCAACCUAGUAAAACAUAACAGCCUCUAAGAGUGCAAGCGGAGAGUCCCAGUGACCUCGAGAACAGAAUAGAAUCCUUGAAAGGACAUGAAACCCAAAGCAUGUUGACCAUAAUGGGCUCACAAAGCAUAUUGGCAACAGUACUCUAUUGAAGCCUUGAAGAGAACACAUUUCACAGUGGUGACCUUAGAAUCAUCUAACAGGAACAAUGAUCAAACAAUUUGUGUAUGGUUGGCCUUGUUUGAAGGACUGCACUUUCCUUCAAUGAAUCAUGCUUCCAACCAUUUAUUUGUUGUGCUCUGACAAUAAUCUAAGGAGAUAAAAAUCGCACUGAAACAUUAGAAAAAGAAAUGCUAUUGCUUGUAUGCACUUUACCAUUGUGGACAAAGCAGCUACUAUGGUUGGUACCCCUUUGAACAUUUAAACAUUCUUCUCCCCCCUCCCACUUGUGUACAGUAGUGUUCACCAUCUACGAGUUGGA